rnacentral:lncRNA from 1 species
GGGGGUACUACAGCUGCUGUGCCCUACACUGAAGAAGCCUAUAUGAAACUGGGACGGAACGUAGCAAGAACAUUUCUAGAUUAUUACAGGCUGAACUCCCUUGUUGAGAAGAUGACAAUCCCAAUGCCAAGACUUCGAAAAGGAGACCCAGAAAGGAACAGAAGAUUUCCUGAUGUCGCGAUGUCGAUAGCACAGAGAGUGUUUCAUUUUCCAAAGCCACCUGAACUCUACUGCGAUAGAGCUCCAUCAGUGGACUGUCUCCGUCUCUCAGGAAUAUGAUGGGGUUUUAGGCCUUUUUAUACCUGCCUAUUAAACAGAAAUAAUAGCAA